AGGAUAAUAAUUUAACAUAAAAUAUUUAAUUUGCAAUUAAAAAUUAUUGAGCCUCAAUUUAUCUU
rnacentral:tRNA from 1 species